UACGCGAGCUGGGUUUAGAACGUCGUGAGACAGUUCGGUCCCUAUCUGUCGUGGGCGCUGGAGAACUGAGGGGGGCUGCUCCUAGUACGAGAGGACCGGAGUGGACGCAUCACUGGUGUUCGGGUUGUCAUGCCAAUGGCACUGCCCGGUAGCUAAAUGCGGAAGAGAUAAGUGCUGAAAGCAUCUAAGCACGAAACUUGCCCCGAGAUGAGUUCUCCCUGAGACUUAGAGUCUCCUGAAGGAACGUUGAAGACGACGACGUUGAUAGGCCGGGUGUGUAAGCGCAGCGAUGCGUUGAGCUAACCGGUACUAAUGAACCGUGAGGCUUAACCUUACAACGCCGAAG
rnacentral:rRNA from 1 species